GUACAAUGUGGACGUCAACAAACUGCUUGAUAUUUAUUGAGUAAACAACGAACGUCAAUAUUAGCAUUCUGCAGCUGCGACGCUAAUGAAACUACUAGAAUGCAGAAGAAAUAAUCUGGAACCACAAGAGAAGGCGUCCUUGGAGCAAACACCAAAAUCCAGCCCAAUCCCCAUCGGUUGCCAUAACAGCGAAGAUGAAUUUAUGUACAUAUCCGGCAAAUUAGAGCAAGUCUACAUCGAUGUAACAUCCGUAAGAUAUUGGAGAGACUGGUACCGCCAACUUACGCAAAAACGAACGCGCAGGCGUGGUUAGCCUACGGCAUACUCUCCCACCAAGCAGGGUAUCUACGGUACCAGCAAAUGAUCACGUGUAAUCCUGUGGGGCGAUAAAAUUUACGGCAAGAAACAUUUCUUGUUUCAUGGAGAACAAAUAAAAUCUGUGUUAGAACCCAAUUUAAGCAUUAACAGCGGACACGUGUCACUAUUGAUGAGUCAUUGGUUCGAACGGAAACUAUCUGACGAAAGUGACGGUAGUUUAUCGAUCUCCUUCGAAGUCGUAUACCAACAUAAAGGCUGCCACCAUGAACCACCCAUUGAAGCUCUCAAUUUUAGUGAAUGCAGCUCAACUAACCCGACAGGAUACGCGCAGAAAUCUGACAGGGCUGCCAAACCAAGACUUACAGAAAUCUAGCAGAGCGGUCUCUGCCAGAAAAUUUGCUGACUGGGUAUCGGAAACGGGGCAAAUCCCAAUGAAGUUACGGAUCGAGUUCCUAGCCAAACGCGAAAUCGUAAAAAGCACAUACAACCAGAACCAGUUAGCGAAGUUCAUACAACUCACCAUAGAAAGGGAGGAAACAAGCGGCACUUUCCUAUCAACAAUCACAGACAAACACAUUGAUGUGGUCCUGCAAGUUCACCCGAUAGGCGAAAACGUAUCGUGGGAACUCAGACCGAACAUGGAAGGAUACGUCAGCAUGCAGUCGAAAAUCCGGCACUCACUGUCAGCACAGCAAAGGAAAAAGAAAAACGUACCAAAAGAGCAAUGGAGGCAGCUUUUCCAACAAACCAUGCAAACAGAAUACCGGGAUUAUGUAAGAAUAUUCACCAAUGGUAGCAAAACAGGAAACGGGACAGCAAUCGCCUUCUACGAUGAAACCGCCAACACCACAAAGACAGAAAAAAUCAGUUCUGAAGUCACCAUCCAAACAGCAAUCGAAUGGAGCAUACAUCAAUCGUAUUCAAAGGUAGUAAUCUGACGGACUCAGCAAGUGCUUGCACAUUACUGCAAAACAAAGAAGAAAUCAGAAACAACUACAUCGCCUGGAAGAUCUUCGAGCUGUUCCAGCGAAAAGAUGCAAACCAACUCAGGAUACAAUGGAUCCCAAGCCACUGCGGAAUAACCGGUAACGAGAUAGUGGACACAGCCGCAGUGAAAGCUACAACCGGCAGACAAACGCUAUACAACUCGCUGACAGUAGGAGAUGCAACGUUAAUGGCAAAGGAAGAAACCUGGGAAGAUUGGUCGCGCCUGUUCAGCGAAAUGAACCGAGAAAAGGGACGCGGGUAUAAAACCAUACAACCGCAACCACUCAAGACGACAUGGUUCAAACACUUAGCCACAGAGAAACUUAGCAGUGAACGCAAGAGAGAUUAAAUAUCUAAGCAGAAUACGUUCUGGACACAUGCUCACCAAAGAUAGGAGAUUCCACUGGAAAUGGGAGGAUACAGAUCGAUGUGACAUAUGCGACGAGGUAGAAGAUAUAAAACACAUACUGUACAACUGCACAAAAUUCAACACCAUCAGAAGCAAAUAUCCAGCUCUAGAAUAUUUCAAACCUUUAGAAAAAAUUCUGAUAGAAGAAUGCGAAACUAGUAUGACACAGAUUCGUCGCUUCCUAACAGAAGCAAAAAUUUAAUUGCAAACAAGCAAAACCGACAACACUGCCAUAA